rnacentral:rRNA from 1 species
UACGUAGGGCGCAAGCGUUGUCCGGAAUUAUUGGGCGUAAAGAGCUCGUAGGCGGCCAGUUGCGUCUGCUGUGAAAUCCCGGGGCUCAACCCCGGGCGUGCAGUGGAUACGGGCUGGCUAGAGGCAGGCAGGGGAGAACGGAAUUCCCGGUGUAGCGGUGAAAUGCGCAGAUAUCGGGAGGAACACCGGUGGCGAAGGCGGUUCUCUGGGACGUGACUGACACUAAGGCGCGAAAGCGUGGGGAGCGAACAGG